rnacentral:lncRNA from 1 species
UUUGCCUAAACUAUUCAAAGAUCACAUAAAUCCCCAUCCCCCGAGCAAUCCCCAAAUUAUUAUCACAAUAAUAAUGUUUGUACAAUACAAAUGAACAAAGAAGAGGCUAUUAAACUAGGAAAGAAGAAAGAAAAUAAAUAAAGGACCCCUUCCAAGUUCCAACGACUCUUCAAUAAUCACGACCUAUCAAACGUAAAGCAACAACAUGGCAAACACAGAGGCAAAUGAAGAUUCUAUGGCAUGAUGUUACACACAACAUGACCAAACAAUGACAUGGUAGUAAGCAUAACACAGAAGAGUCCCUACAAACAUGCUUUCUAUCACGUUAAAGCAUCCAAUGAACAAAUAAGUAAUUAAAUUACAUCGUUCACUCAUGGGUGAGCAGCAAUAAGAAAUAAUAAAAAUAAUAAGGCCAAGCGCUUAUAAGAAUAAUAUGCAGGGUGCUUCUUGUAAGCCUCGAACAAAAAUCAAAGCACUCUUAAAAUAUAUAAUUGUCUUCUGUCUGUUAAGUGAGAAGAGAGGUGAUUUAUACAGUGGAGGGGGUCACAAUGAUAACCAUGAUGAAAGGAAAAAAUAUUUUUUUCCUCAAUCAAAGGGAUUUUCCUUAAAUAUAAGGAUUGCCAGGUAAAAUCAAUCAAACAAACAUAAGGAAAGAAAAAUCAAUCAACAUGUGAAUUAGCCGAAAUACAACAGAAGAGGAAAGAACAAAGAAAAUCAAUUAUUCAAAUUAUAACUAAUAAAAUCAGAGUUUUACCAGAAAAGAGGAAAGAACAAAGAAAAUCAAUUAUUCAAAUUAUUACCAAUAAAAUCAGAGUUUACCAUAAUUAUCAACAAUAGAGUAGUCUCAAUACCAUGAAAAUAUCGAUUAACAAUCAAUCCUUCCUUGAAUUUAUCAAUCAAAAUAAAUAAAACAGCAUAGGCUUACCAUGAAUAAAAGGAUAACAUGGAUAGGGGCAAUCACAAUUAUUUCCAAAAUCAAUAAUUGAACUAAAAUUAGGCAGCAAUCAGUUCAAAUUGCCAUAUAACACCAUCAUAAGUUCAAAAGACAGAAGCACACAACCCAAAAUCAUUGAGGUUCGCAAAAACUCAUUUAGGAUGAAGUAUCCUUAAUUUGUAAUUUUGCACUAGUUUAUUUAACAAUGUAGCACAAGCUUCACAAAUCAGAAAUCAAGUAACGAAAUCAAGGUUAAUUCAAAUCAGUGAAAUUUGGGGCUUUUCAUAUGAACACAUAAUUAAACAAAUUAAAUCAAAAUUCAAAGUCAGAUAUCACAAAUUUAAAUCCAAGGGAUUAAUUAAGGCAAUUUGCACCCAAAGAAAACAAAGUACAUGCAAAUUAAAUCAAAGAAAACAAACAUGCAAUUAAAGGAUUGAGGGAUCAAGCCGUAUAAUAGUUGGGUUCAGACCUCACCGGUUCUCAAUUUCGACGAGAACGUGACCGGUGAGAAAAGGGGAGGCUGAAUUGCAACUGGGGGAUGGGCUGCUACUGGAGGCGGCCACGGCGAUGGCGGAGCGGAUGGACUCGCAUGCGUUGGGGGUGUCGGCUAACUUAGUUGCUUCGUUGGGACGUUUCGCCGGCGAAGCCGGCUGUAGCCGCUGAUUCGCCGGUGCGAUAAAGACGCUGGACGGGGUGGGUGGCCGAAAGGACCGUUGGUUGGUCGCCAUUGUUGUCGUUGCUACAGCGGCUGGCAAUAAGGAGGGUUGUUGGCUAUGGGUUCGCCGGAGAAGAGGGCGAGGCGGCGAAGGAGGAGAGAGGGGAGAGGGAAACCGGCAGUGGACAGCGGCGAAGUCAUCCCUAGCAGUUAUGGAGUUUUGAUAACUUUGGGGUAGAUGA